GUACUGGACACAUCUGGAUGGAACUAAAACUCUACUCAGUAACUGUGGAGAAGAAGUCUUCUCAAAAAGUCAUCAGUUAUUUUACUGAUGUAGAAAAUUAACCUUUCCCUUGCUAACAAACUCCUUACAUCAGCAACUGGUAAUUUAUUUGAUGUGGGCGAUGCGGACACUGGAACUGAGAAUAUGCCUCACCAUGUUCUUCUCGUAUCGGUAACUCUCGCCACGUCAUACGCCGAAAUGCCUCGUCUGCCAUGAUAUAUCACCUCCUGACCAUCAGCAGCCCUGAGGUACUCUCUGUCAGAAUUCUGAUUACUACAACUGCUGAAGUUUGCUUUCUUUCAAUUCUGUAACACACAAUGGAAUAGUUCUGUCAGCAAAAUGUUCUAUUUUUGUAUUCCGAUAAGUGGUGAAACUUCCGUCGUCUGUUCGCACGAUAAAAUAACUCUUAAGAAUGAAAAAAAAUUAGUGAGAAAGCCAGAUAAAGCAAAUCUUCACCCACAUUUCGUCCGUAGUUCAUACGUCUCAUACUAUUAGCCUUCCAGCAGACGUUCUGUAAUUCUUGGGAAGUAAAAAUCUCCUCUUCAAUAUAUCUACAAGAAAUAUAUAUCUCACUUCAAUACUAUGAUUAAAUUUACUUUAAGGAAAUAAUUUGUUAACACCGAAAUUAAAGUAUUAUUAGAAAACUCAUCUGGUGUAUUGGGAGUACACCUAAAGCACACUAGUGAAAAUGUAUUCCAGUCUGGAGAGGAAGGCAGUAAGUUCUUCAGAAAAACUGGAAGUUCCUUGCAAAAGAGAAUGGUGUUUCAAUACACGUAACAAAUACAAAUAAGUAAACUUAUUUCAUUCCUCUUAAUCAUUCUGCCAAUUCUCACUAAACAUUGUCAAUAUAAUCUUCACAACUGACAAAGAAUCAUUAAAUAAACAAAAAAAAUAUUAAAUAACUUAGUGAAGGAAGCCACUGAGAACAGAGAAAACUGAAGGCAUUUCCAUAUUUUCUCACUUACUUAAAACACUGUCAGAAUCUCAGACUAUAACACCAAAUGAUAAAAUUAUUAAUGAACAAAGAAUUUGACGAGACGUCCAUGGAAGCGAUCAUGGCGUAACUGAAGGUACAUAUUUUUUAAAAAAAAAAUCUUGUAUCCAACAUAAAAAUAAACCAUUUGUGAACGUUAUCCUUUUUGUAAUACGACCAGACGUCUACAACAUAAUACACUACAUUAACUCUUAUAACCAUCAAUAUGCGUAAGAAAACAGCAUUCUACUUGACAGAAAUAAUAACUAUAUAUAACAAAAGGCUUCCAGUGAUAAUGUGUGAGGGUGUCUCGAGAGCGGAAGCUUCUGAACCACCAAAGUUAUUUCCGUCUCAUCGGAUAACUAAAGGAGCGCAAAUGACUGGUCAGUGAUUUCUUUCACAAUGGGAUAGUUGCCUUCGUGUUACGGUGAGACACGAUUAAACAUCUGCGAUGACUACGUAACAUAUACCAAAGUCUUCUUAUGCAUAUUUCUAUAACCUGGUAAUCACAGCGUCUCGAUGGAUUUAUGGAUGAGUAACUGGAAAAUAAAAUUAUUUCGUGUAAGAAUAAUGAGAAUUUCUUUCAAAGGUACAACAUUUGUAACACACAAGUUUAAUACCAUCGAUAAUCUUUGUAAAUGAUAAGAUGACGGUCCACGUACAAUUAAGUUUAUACAAUGUAUUCUCCCAUUUUCCUACCAGUGUGACAGAUUCUGUAAGCCUCCUAUAUGACUAAUGCUUAAAAAUUACUUUUCUGUUAUUUAUUAUUUAAUUUUAAAAAAAUAUGUGUGUGUUUCGUUUAAUAAAUUACACUAUCACACAAUAUA